rnacentral:rRNA from 1 species
UACGUAUGGUGCAAGCGUUAUCCGGAUUCAUUGGGCGUAAAGCGCGCGUAGGCGGCCGCCUAAGCGGAACCUCUAACCCCGGGGCUCAACCUCGGGCCGGGUUCCGGACUGGGCGGCUCGAGUGCGGUAGAGGAGAGCGGAAUUCCCGGUGUAGCGGUGGAAUGCGCAGAUAUCGGGAAGAACACCGAUGGCGAAGGCAGCUCUCUGGGCCGUCACUGACGCUGAGGCGCGAAAGCUGGGGGAGCGAACAGG